GUCUACGACCAUACCACUGUGAACGCGACCGAUCUCAUCUGAUCUCGGAAGCUAAGCAGGGUCGGGCCUGGUUAGUCUUUGGAUGGGAAGAAGAUAACUAGACUCUUGGUCA
ensembl:rRNA 5S_rRNA 5S ribosomal RNA